CCUAGGGGGAACAGCAGACUAAGUGGCUAGGGAUGUGGGAACUGAAGGUCUUCAUCCCACAUGCAGUUGCAGCCAUCCUUCUACAGAGAAAGACCUCUUAUUUGUCGGCAACAUGGAUUCACAGCUUCCGUUGCAAGAAAGCCCUGGAUGUGCCUGUGGAUGUGCCUGCAGAAGAAGACUGGAGGAACAUCCCUGAAGACAACUGACUGCCAUGGAGGGGGGACCAAAAUCUUCUUGCAUACUUUCAAACAAUUAGAUCCUCCUUAAAUAAGGGCAUGACAAUCCUCUGCAUGAUAAUCUUCAUGAUUGUAUUCCUCUUGUUUUGGUCUGAACAUAACCUGGAGUUUGUUUGAAUUUCAUGCACUAAGGUUUUUCCCUCACAUAUGUAUAUGAGGGUUUUUUUUUCUAGUGCACAUAUUAUUAGAUAGCCAUAUGAAGUCUUUUACCCAUCUCCAGUCUCUUAAGGGGAAGGGAUGUUUGGCCUCAUAUGUAUCAUGUGACCUGGACUUUCUGUUUUGUUUGGGUAACUCUUUAUUGAAUCCUGUUGGAUCAAAUUAGGUUGAAAGAUGAACAGAAUCUCCAGGCCAUGUGAGUAGAUAAGACUGUGUUUAAUAACUUUGUAUCCAUGUUUAUGAUAUAUGUUUAUACCACCAUACAAUGAUUUUAAUGUUAAAAAGGAGGGAAUUGUGAAGGAAUUUAUCAUUAAAAUCAUGUAUUGCGUUAGCCUUUGUAUGACCUCAGAGUUAAACUGGUGGUUUGUGCCAUGGAGCAGACCCUCUACCAGCUUAUCUCAUUUAUAGGUGAUCAGUUACUUCUCUGGAAUUUAUGACUAGACCUGUUCAUUAGCUAGAUCUGGUUCUGGAAAGUUUUUAUUGCUUUAUUACCCGAUUGACUAUGUAAUACAUGCAAAGUAUAUGUAAAAUCAGAAGACCUUAAAAGUGUCCUGUCACCUCUGUCACAUUGACAAUCUACCUCCAAGCUUUGGUGUGUAUGAUUCUCCUGCUGUCACAGCAUUAAAGGCCUGAAGACCAUCUGACUGUU